UACACGGUCAUGUGAUUGUUAACUACUUAUAUAUUGAUCGAUGAAAAUAUAACAUGAUAUGAUACAACGAGUAAAACAACAGAUAUCUGAAAAUGUCUUGCAAAGUAACAUGCGUAUUAGUAAUUUUACUAUGGGUUACAUAUAUAUCAAUUGGAUGUCGGUGCUUUUUUGAUCAUCCACAAAGAAUAUUUUGCAGGGAAGAUUCUGUCGGUGAGUACUUAGUUUAGCUUUCAUUCACCUCAGAAUUAUGUAAGUAAAUUCUUAUCUGUUCCUCCAGAUUUCAAUUGUACCCCAAUUUUGACAUUUUUACCUAUAAUGUAUGUUUGUUUUGUUUACCCAUCAUCGUUUAUAUCAUGCAUAUAAUGGUAUUUCAGGCGACUAGCACACAGGUGAGAGGUUUAGCUAGCUAAAAACAAGUUAAAUCCAUCAUUUAUUACGCAAGAAAAAACUGUACGAAGUCAAGAAGAUGACAGUUAUUAGUUUGAUAUGUUUGAGCUUUUGAUUUAGUCGUAUAAUUACGGACUUCCCGUUUUGAUGUUUCCUCGUAGUUUGGUAUGUUAUUUCACUUUUUUAAUAUGUCAAUUGAAUAAGUGAUACACUACGAAACAUGAUACUAGUAAGUGAAAUAAAAUUCUCACGAUUUAUUUUUUCUACAACAUUUAUUCAACAAAAACGAUUAAAUCCUACAACUAUCGUAUUGCUAGAGUCAAAAUGAAUAACAAAAUUGGACAGGGUGCAAUACAACUCUUUAAUUCUUACGACGUUUCAGUCAAGUCAGUUGUUCAAACAAAGAGAAAGAAAGUUAAAUUGUAAAAGGCUUUUUGUUCUCCCAUUUUGAACUUCUUUUAAUAGGCAUUACCUUUCAGUGUUUGAUUGUCAAAUAAUUUUUCAUAUUUUUUUAUAUGAAUUUCACGUAUUCAUAAAUCUGUCCAAUUGAUUGCAAUUCAUAUUGUGUAUCACCGUUUCGCAUACAAGAAUCUGUCAACGCUCCGUGUCCCCCCUUCUGUUUUAUUAAUCGUCCUCUGUUUAUGUUGUAAUGAUACAUACCUUAAACAACUUGUAAGCUUUUUAAGGAUGUUCGCUUGUCAUGUUUUUGGAUUUUUGUCAGAUUUUCGGAAUACUCUGGUGUUAUUCAUUUGAAUGCCUUAAAAAUUGGCUCAUUGCCCCCAAUUUUUCUUUUUAUAAAUAAAAGUCUUAUGAAAUCGUUGUUAUUCUUUAAAAGUUUUUGAGAGCUUUAACUUGUCAAUGAUAAAGCAAGGAAAAAUCAAAAGAGAUAAUUUCCCCGCCAAAUUUUCAAAGGCUAAUAUCUCGAAAAUGAUUGUAUAAAAAUAAAAGAACUGAAAAAAGUGAGAGAAAAAUGAAUGAUCUGUGUACUGUUUUUUUUAAAUACAAGCACUUCACAUUUGGCGGGAAAUAACUGUCUCUAAAUCUAUUGUACAUUUAACAUUGGAUCUAUUUUUUUUGUUAAAAAUGUGAAAAAGUACCAAUUAUUUUGUAAAAUUUCAUAAUGUAUCAUUUUUAAUUUAAUGUAAUAAAAUUUGGAAACGAAAAGUGAGGGAUAGUAGGUAAAAUUUACAAUGUCAUUCCAUGGAUAAAAUUUUAGGAUUCCGUAUAUCUGACAAAAUUUUUUAAAUAAGAUAAGAGGAGGCUUAGCUAGCUAUAAAACAAGGUGUAAUCCACCUUUCUACAUUAGGAAAUGCUUUAAACAAGUUAGGAUGAUGACAGUUGUUAUUCAUCGUUUGAUGAGUUUGAGUUUUUGAAUUUGACACUUGAUUUUCAAGUUAUAUUCCGGUUUUUUCAGAGUUUCGUUUUUUUUUGUUAAUUUGUUUUUUUACCGAUGUUGAGAUCUCGUUAAUCGACUUAAAAGAUUAAAAAAAAAAGAUUAUAUUGAAAAGCUCCAGCAAUGACGCAUUUGUGUGUAUUCCAACCAAAUUUGCAAUAGACGAAAUCGUACUAAGAUAGAAACAGGAAAAAGUUUUGUCCCAAUGAUUUUAUUAAUUGAAUUACUGGUAUGUAUGUUUUCCUAAAACAUGAUGUGUUUAUAUUUUCAAAAAAUAAAUCUGAAGUAAUUUUCGGAACUAAAAAUGGUUUCCGUUAUAAAAAGAGUUCUCACACAGACGUUUUUUGCAAAGGUUAGAUUUCUUAUACAAUAAUCUCGACGGUGAGUCGAGGACUGUGGUGUUAGUUUUUCGAAGUAAGGUUUAUUUUCUCCAUCGUGUAGGAAUAACUUCUAAUAAAUGCCUUAGUUUUAAUCAGUUUGAAAGAGAAAAAAAAUUAUGUGUGUAAAGGUUUGGAUUUUCUAAUGAUGUGAUGGUUUAAGGGGGUGCCUUUGUCUGAUUUGAUUAUGUGCCAAUAACCAUGUUUUAUCCUUUCUUAGUUCUGGUCGGGAGAGUAAUAAAAAAGGAAAUUCCUAAAGGAGGAUAUAAGAUAAAACAUCACUUCAAACUACUC
rnacentral:lncRNA from 1 species